rnacentral:rRNA from 1 species
GGGUUGUGAGGUUAAGCGACUAAGCGUACACGGUGGAUGCCCUGGCAGUCAGAGGCGAUGAAGGACGUGCUAAUCUGCGAAAAGCGUCGGUAAGGUGAUAUGAACCGUUAUAGCCGGCGAUGUCCGAAUGGGGAAACCCAGUGCAAUUCGUUGCACUAUCGUUAACUGAAUACAUAGGUUAACGAGGCGAACCGGGGGAACUGAAACAUCUAAGUACCCCGAGGAAAAGAAAUCAACCGAGAUUCCCCCAGUAGCGGCGAGCGAACGGGGAGCAGCCCAGAGUCUGAAUCAGCUUGUGUGUUAGUGGAACGGUCUGGAAAGUCCGACGGUACAGGGUGAUAGUCCCGUACACCAAAAUGCACAGGUUGUGAACUCGAAGAGUAGGGCGGGACACGUGGUAUCCUGUCUGAAUAUGGGGGGACCAUCCUCCAAGGCUAAAUACUCCUGACUGACCGAUAGUGAACCAGUACCGUGAGGGAAAGGCGAAAAGAACCCCGGCGAGGGGAGUGAAAAAGAACCUGAAACCGUGUACGUACAAGCAGUGGGAGCACCUUCGGGUGUGACUGCGUACCUUUUGUAUAAUGGGUCAGCGACUUAUAUUCUGUAGCAAGGUUAACCGUAUAGGGGAGCCGCAGGGAAACCGAGUCUUAACUGGGCGUUAAGUUGCAGGGUAUAGACCCGAAACCCGGUGAUCUAGCCAUGGGCAGGUUGAAGGUUGGGUAACACUAACUGGAGGACCGAACCGACUAAUGUUGAAAAAUUAGCGGAUGACUUGUGGCUGGGGGUGAAAGGCCAAUCAAACCGGGAGAUAGCUGGUUCUCCCCGAAAGCUAUUUAGGUAGCGCCUCGUGAACUCAUCUUCGGGGGUAGAGCACUGUUUCGGCUAGGGGGUCAUCCCGACUUACCAACCCGAUGCAAACUACGAAUACCGAAGAAUGUUAUCACGGGAGACACACGGCGGGUGCUAACGUCCGUCGUGAAGAGGGAAACAACCCAGACCGCCAGCUAAGGUCCCAAAGUCAUGGUUAAGUGGGAAACGAUGUGGGAAGGCACAGACAGCCAGGAUGUUGGCUUAGAAGCAGCCAUCAUUUAAAGAAAGCGUAAUAGCUCACUGGUCGAGUCGGCCUGCGCGGAAGAUGUAACGGGGCUAAACCAUGCACCGAAGCUGCGGCAGCGACACUAUGUGUUGUUGGGUAGGGGAGCGUUCUGUAAGCCUGCGAAGGUGACCUGUGAGGGUUGCUGGAGGUAUCAGAAGUGCGAAUGCUGACAUAAGUAACGAUAAAGCGGGUGAAAAGCCCGCUCGCCGGAAGACCAAGGGUUCCUGUCCAACGUUAAUCGGGGCAGGGUGAGUCGACCCCUAAGGCGAGGCCGAAAGGCGUAGUCGAUGGGAAACAGGUUAAUAUUCCUGUACUUGGUGUUACUGCGAAGGGGGGACGGAGAAGGCUAUGUUAGCCGGGCGACGGUUGUCCCGGUUUAAGCAUGUAGGCUGGUUAUCCAGGCAAAUCCGGAUAAUCAAGGCUGAGGUGUGAUGACGAGGCACUACGGUGCUGAAGUAACAAAUGCCCUGCUUCCAGGAAAAGCCUCUAAGCAUCAGGUAACAUCAAAUCGUACCCCAAACCGACACAGGUGGUCAGGUAGAGAAUACCAAGGCGCUUGAGAGAACUCGGGUGAAGGAACUAGGCAAAAUGGUGCCGUAACUUCGGGAGAAGGCACGCUGGUGUGUAGGUGAAGUCCCUGCGGAUGGAGCUGAGACCAGUCGAAGAUACCAGCUGGCUGCAACUGUUUAUUAAAAACACAGCACUGUGCAAACACGAAAGUGGACGUAUACGGUGUGACGCCUGCCCGGUGCCGGAAGGUUAAUUGAUGGGGUUAUCCGUAAGGAGAAGCUCUUGAUCGAAGCCCCGGUAAACGGCGGCCGUAACUAUAACGGUCCUAAGGUAGCGAAAUUCCUUGUCGGGUAAGUUCCGACCUGCACGAAUGGCGUAAUGAUGGCCAGGCUGUCUCCACCCGAGACUCAGUGAAAUUGAACUCGCUGUGAAGAUGCAGUGUACCCGCGGCAAGACGGAAAGACCCCGUGAACCUUUACUAUAGCUUGACACUGAACAUUGAGCCUUGAUGUGUAGGAUAGGUGGGAGGCUUUGAAGCGUGGACGCCAGUCUGCGUGGAGCCAACCUUGAAAUACCACCCUUUAAUGUUUGAUGUUCUAACGUUGGCCCCUUACCGGGGUUGCGGACAGUGUCUGGUGGGUAGUUUGACUGGGGCGGUCUCCUCCCAAAGCGUAACGGAGGAGCACGAAGGUUAGCUAAUCCUGGUCGGACAUCAGGAGGUUAGUGCAAUGGCAUAAGCUAGCUUGACUGCGAGCGUGACGGCGCGAGCAGGUGCGAAAGCAGGUCAUAGUGAUCCGGUGGUUCUGAAUGGAAGGGCCAUCGCUCAACGGAUAAAAGGUACUCCGGGGAUAACAGGCUGAUACCGCCCAAGAGUUCAUAUCGACGGCGGUGUUUGGCACCUCGAUGUCGGCUCAUCACAUCCUGGGGCUGAAGUAGGUCCCAAGGGUAUGGCUGUUCGCCAUUUAAAGUGGUACGCGAGCUGGGUUUAGAACGUCGUGAGACAGUUCGGUCCCUAUCUGCCGUGGGCGCUGGAGAAUUGAGGGGGGCUGCUCCUAGUACGAGAGGACCGGAGUGGACGCAUCACUGGUGUUCGGGUUGUCAUGCCAAUGGCACUGCCCGGUAGCUAAAUGCGGAAGAGAUAAGUGCUGAAAGCAUCUAAGCACGAAACUUGCCCCGAGAUGAGUUCUCCCUGAGACUUUAAGUCUCCUGAAGGAACGUUGAAGACGACGACGUUGAUAGGCCGGGUGUGUAAGCGCAGCGAUGCGUUGAGCUAACCGGUACUAAUGAACCGUGAGGCUUAACCUUACAACGCCGAAG